rnacentral:lncRNA from 1 species
UGAUUGAUGGAGAAGCUGUUGCUGGACUAAGGUCGCUCUCAACAGAUUCGAAUGGAAGGGAAGAUGAAGAUAGAAGUGAAUAGAUUGUGAAACUGUCGCUGGACUAAGGUCACUCUCAACAGAUUCGAUUGAGAUGGAGAUGGAUAGUUGGAUGGAUCGAAGUUCGCCACACAAAGUUGAGGAAUGACUUUGUGAUAAGAACACAAAUCAAUAUCUAAAUGAAUCGCACACAAAGAUAAAGAAUCCACUUGUUUUCUAAAGGAAUCACACACAAUAGAAAAAAACAAGUAAAACAAAAGCCUAAGCUUUUAAAAGUGAGAAACUCUCUCUUUAUUUUUUUCCAAAAAUCUAUAUAUUUACAAUGAAGGGAAACAUGAGCUUAUAUAGGCUCAAUUUACAAAUCAAUAACAUAAGUACAAAGUAAAUCAAAUUAAUUACAUGAAUCAAUCAAGAAUAAAUUUGAGAGAUUUUAUCAAUCAACAUUGAUGGAGAUUGGUUCUUUGUAUCUAGACACUUUCUUGAUAUAGCCAUGAAUUGAUUGUCUUCUAGAAACUUCUUUAUAAUUUGAUCUUGAUUUUCCUUGAACCAAUCCUUGAUGAGUCAUGGAUAUUUCUAGGACUACAUCACUCUCUCCUUCUUGAAAAGGUUUUGUCCUCAAAACUAAAACCAAAGUGUGCAUUUUUUUUUUUUUUUGAUAUUGAAGAAAACAAAAACGAAAUUAAAAGAAGAGAAUUUUUUUAAAUUUUUUUGUCAAAUAAAACUGAAAUUCAACAAAUCAAAACAAAGUUUUUUUUUUGUAUAUAUAUAUUUUUAAAAAGAACUAAAUAAAACAGAAAACGAUUUUUUUUUUUUUUUCAAAUAAAACUGAAAUGAAACAAUAAGAGAUAGGAGCUUUUAGCUCUGAUACCAGAUGAUAUAGGUACGAGCGUGGUGAUUGAUGGAGAAGUUUGUUGCUGGACUAAGGUCACUCUCAACAGAUUCGAAUGGAAGGGAAGAUGAAGAUAGAAGUGAAUAGAUGGUGAAACUGUCGCUGGACUAAGGUCACUCUCAACAGAUUCGAUAGAGAUGGAGAUGGAUAGUUGGAUGGAUCGAAGUUCGCCACACAAAGUUGCGGAAUGACUUUGUGAUAAGAACACAAAUCAAUAUC